UCAAGUCACCGCAGGAUGGAAAGGGA
rnacentral:piRNA from 1 species